rnacentral:tRNA from 1 species
GAGGGUGUAGCUCAGUGUUGGAGCACAUGCUUAGCAUGCACAAGGUCCCAGGUUCAAUCCCUGGUACCCUCA